rnacentral:misc_RNA from 1 species
UGGUUCUGGCAUCGAUGAAGAACGCAGCGAAAUGCGAUAAGUAAUGUGAAUUGCAGAAUUCAGUGAAUCAUCGAAUCUUUGAACGCACAUUGCGCCCAUUAGUAUUCUAGUGGGCAUGCCUGUUCGAGCGUCAUUUCAACCCUUAAGCUUAGCUUAGUGUUGGGAAUCUACUCUCGGGUUGUCCUACCCUGUAGCGACUUCCCCUGUAGCUCCUAAAAAUCAACGGCGGAAUAAUUAUAUCCUCUGAACGUAGUAAUUAUUUUUCUCGUUUUGGUUAGGGUUAAUCAUUCUCGCCGCUAAACCACCUAUAUUUUCAUGGUUGACCUCGGAUCAGGUAGGAAUACCCGCUGA